UGCUUCCCGAAUAAACCAUGGAAAGUAAUUUCUGCCCGGUGAAUUCUUAAACGGCCGCGGUACCCUGACCGUGCAAAGGUAGCAUAAUAGCUUGCCUUCUAAUUAGAGGCUUGUAUGAAUGAACCAACGUGAGUGCAGCUGUCUCUUUCGUACCCCUAAAAUUUAACCUGCAUGUGAAAAGGCAUGCAUCUUACUAAAAGACAAGAAGACCCUGUCGAGCUUAAUUGAUACCGCCUUUACUUUGGUAAUUUUUUAAUCUUUAUCAAGGCGCACCAAUUUAGUUGGGGCAACAAGGGAACACCUAAAACUUCCUUCCGUAGAUUCUCUUAAGAUCACCCACCCUAUUUCUUAGGCAUAAAAUUAAAGCUACCGCAGGGGUAACAGGUU
rnacentral:rRNA from 1 species